rnacentral:rRNA from 1 species
UGGGGAAUAUUGCACAAUGGGCGAAAGCCUGAUGCAGCGACGCCGCGUGAGCGAAGAAGGCCUUCGGGUUGUAAACUUCUUUGAUCGGGGACGAAGGAAGACGGUACCCGAGGAACAAGCCACGGCUAACUACGUGCCAGCAGCCGCGGUAAUACGUAGGUGGCGAGCGUUGUCCGGAAUUACUGGGCGUAAAGGGCGUGUAGGCGGGGGGACAAGUCAGAUGUGAAAUACUGCAGCUUAACUGCGGGGCUGCAUCUGAAACUGUUCUUCUUGAGUGUCGGAGAGGAAAGUGGAAUUCCCGGUGUAGCAGUGAAAUGCGUAGAGAUCGGGAGGAACACCAGUGGCGAAGGCGGCUGCCUGGGGAGUCACUGACGCUGAGGCGCGAAAGCUAGGGGAGCAAACAGG